GGGUUGUGAGGUUAAGCGACUAAGCGUACACGGUGGAUGCCCUGGCAGUCAGAGGCGAUGAAGGACGUGCUAAUCUGCGAUAAGCGUCGGUAAGGUGAUAUGAACCGUUAUAACCGGCGAUUUCCGAAUGGGGAAACCCAGUGUGAUUCGUCACACUAUCAUUACGUGAAUACAUAGCGUAAUGAAGCGAACCGGGGGAACUGAAAC
rnacentral:rRNA from 1 species